rnacentral:rRNA from 1 species
UACGUAGGGUGCAAGCGUUGCCCGGAUUUAUUGGGCGUAAAGGGCGCGUAGGCGCCCGGCAAGUCAUGCGUGAAAGCUCCCGGCUCAACUGGGAGGGGUCGUGUGAGACUGCCGGGCUGGAGCACGGUAGGGGUAUGCGGAACUAUCGGUGGAGCGGUGAAAUGCGUUGAUAUCGAUAGGAACUCCGGUGGCGAAGGCGGCAUACUGGACCACAUCUGACGCUGAGGCGCGAAAGCCAGGGGAGCGAACGGG